CCUCCUCCUCCUCCACCAUCCUCUUUUCCGGAAACUAUGACAAGAAGUGACAAGAAGUGGCAUUUCCUGAUGACAGAGUGUGGGCCAUUGCAAUUGCAGCUAUUUUAUAAGCCAAACAGCUGUUCGCUUUAGUCGGAGAAAAUACAAACAAACUUCCAAAAUACGAUUUGUGGUUUGCAGAGCGUCCCUGCCUCCCGUCUCUCCCAGCGAGUUCGCAGAUGGGAGAUGUCGCCUGGAGCAGGCGCCUGCUGCUAAGCGUGGCUCUGAGAUGGAUCGAAGUGACAGUAUGUCUGUAUUGGCAGCGGUUCAAGGAAAGAAAGAAAAAGGCCAAGAGAAAACAACCGUCCACCGUGAGGGGCAUCUUCUUGGAACAGUCGAGUUUCCUGGACAACAGGGACAACCAGGCAGACGCUAGUGUAGUCUGGGGAGGAGCCCAGACCCAGCUCGUUGCUUAGCAACCUAAGUCAGAGUGUUAAUAAAAACCGUUAAGGUGAAAACUCACAAUAAAAGGCAGGUGGGUACAAAGUAAAUAGAUGCUGCUGCAUCUCAUUACUGAAAUGCUUGAUGGCUAAGCGGCAGGGGAUGUCGUCAGGCUUCCAAAUUUGUCUUUGCAGGAAGAUACCAAACAUUCCCUUGGGAAUGGAAAUAGAGCUUUGGGGACUCUUAAGUUCAAUCUGUUAUUUGUUGUGUAGGCAUUCUAAGAUGGCUAACGCCAUUCUCAUGGCUUAUCAUGAAUUGAUUCUUUCAGUAGAGAGUUAAGUACUUUGCAAAGCACAUCUGCCUAACUGCCUUUGUUAUUACCAAGUCCUUCUUAUAUACAUCGGCAAUCACUCUUUAGGAUCUUGUGACUACUCUGCUCUUUUCUGCUCCAAAGAAAAGAAAAAGGCAGGGAAAAUGAUCAAACAGUGGGGACACUAAGUAUGAGGGAAGAUACUACCUGAAAUCAUGUCCCCGGGACUUCUGAAGCCAGCAAAUAUGAAAACAGAAGAGACAAGUCAAUCAUUGGUAUUCCUGCUCUCCAGCAAAAUUUAGCAAACUUUGAUAAACCGUUUCUCAAAGGUUUCCCAUGAAUAUUAAACUGGGUAAUGAGACCAUAUUAUUUUAUUAAAAUUGGUACAGCCAACAACCAGAACCCAUUAGUUGCACUUUACUAAGAUAUAAAUAAAUGUAAGAAAUGAAGAAAACAUAUGAAAUUGAUUAAAAAUUUUUUUAGUAAUUUUUCUUUUUGAAAAUCACACUUUUGGGAAGCUCUUGCAUGUAUCCUGUUUGUAUACAAAAGGGACUUCAUUCAAUUAACUCAUAUAUGGCUAGCCUAUUUAAAAGAGUGCUGGCGGUUUGAGUGAUGUAGUUCGUUAGAAUGCCACCAGAGGGAGCCCAAGUUUGUCUCCUACAGAACUCCAGGGCCAGUCGCAGUUCAAAAGAUAGUGGAAUUCAGACCAGAAUGGUUUCACUGCGAGGAGGUUCUGUCGCAGGAACACAUGGUGGAGAAGCAGCAUUGAUCACUCAAGAACACUGUUAGGAACGGGAAGAUGGCUGGGCUAGUGCUCAUGUUGUAUGCUGAAUUCUUGACCUUGUUUUCAGGUGUAGUUUGAUGCUAUUGUAUAAAAAGGCCCUCAGCCCUCUUCUCCUCUUGUUCACCCCCCCUGGGGGAGGGGACAGAAGGGUAAAACAGCCUCUCAUUAGUAUUUUCAGAGAAGUCCACAAAGAUAGAGCAUCAGAAAAGAACAAGAGCUCUUGGAAAUGAAAACAUUUUAAUGAGAAAAUUUCUUAAUGGAAAGGAUUGAAAGAUAAAAAUGAAAGCUCAGAACAAAAUUUUUAAAAAGGCAAAGGAGA
rnacentral:lncRNA from 1 species